UACGUAGGGCGUAAGCGUUGUCCGGAAUUAUUGGGCGUAAAGAGCUCGUAGGCGGCUUGUCACGUCGGGUGUGAAAGCCCGGGGCUUAACCCCGGGUCUGCAUUCGAUACGGGCAGGCUAGAGGUAGGUAGGGGAGAAUGGAAUUCCCGGUGUAGCGGUGAAAUGCGCAGAUAUCGGGAGGAACACCGGUGGCGAAGGCGGUUCUCUGGGCCUUACCUGACGCUGAGGAGCGAAAGCGUGGGGAGCGAACAGG
rnacentral:rRNA from 1 species